rnacentral:rRNA from 1 species
AGCAGCCGCGGUAAUUCCAGCUCCAAUAGCGUAUAUUAAAGUUGUUGCAGUUAAAAAGCUCGUAGUUGAAUUUCGAGAUCAAAUUGUUGGUCGUGCCUCGGUACGUACUGGCAUUAUUGAUUUCUCCCUUCUGAAGAACCACGAUGUCAUUAAUUUGGUGUCGUGGGGAAUCAGGACUGUUACUUUGAAAAAAUUAGAGUGUUUAAAGCAGGCUCACGCUUGAAUACAUUAGCAUGGAAUAAUGAAAUAGGACGUUUGAUUCUAUUUUGUUGGUUUCUAGGAUCGACGUAAUGAUUAAUAGGGAUAGCUGGGGGCAUUAGUAUUCAAUUGCCAGAGGUGAAAUUCUUGGAUUUAUUGAAGACUAACUACUAGCGAAAGCAUUUGCCUAAGGAUGUUUUCAUUAAUCAAGAACGAAAGUUAGGGGAAUCGAAGACGAUCAGAUACCGUCGUAGUCUUAACCAUAAACUAUGCC